rnacentral:lncRNA from 1 species
UCUUUUUUUUUUUUUUUUUUUUUUUUGCUCAGUUUAUUUUACAUGAGUCGACUCGUGGGGACAGAUUUUCAGAAGAUUAUAUGCAAGCAUGUGCAGCACGCUGCACGCACGUCAACCUGUGGAGGGAAAACUUGACGUUGGGCCGUACCAAGGGUCCAUCUGACAACGUACUUACAUUUCGUCAAAUAUAUUUUUUAUUUUUUAUUUUAAAAAUAAUGACUUCACACCCUUGCAAAAUCAAAGAAAUAAAAUUUAAUUUCAACCUAAAUUUUAGGCCACUUUUUACACUAAAUUUAUCACAUGAUCCAUACAUAGUUAUUUUUUUCUCUAUAAAAGGUAUAAUUUGGCUUAACUCAUAUUCAUUUUUACCUCUAAAAAAGUAAGAUUUAAUCCGAAUCAUAUUCAUUUUUUUCUUAAAAAAAAAAAAGAAAUCAAAACAAUUCAUAUUUAUUUUUAUCACUAAAAAAGAGGGAUCUAACAUGUUGUAUAUGAAAAAUAACUGCAUGCGAAUUAAAAAGAUGACGUGAUUUUACGCUAAAAAGUGACUGAAAACCUAUAUUGGAAACAAAUUUUAUUGACUUAAUUUUGUAUAAGAUAUAAAGUUACUCUCUUAAGAGUAGAGAACGAAAAAAUUCAUUUGAUAAAAUAUAACGAGCAUUUUGAACGAUUUUCCUAACUAAAAAAAAAAAACCUACAUGGACCCCGCGCUUUUACAGAAACUCAUAUUUGCAUAAUCACGCGUGACACUGACCUUAAACCUGAAUCAACUUGAUACAGUCAGCCUUCGGUUUUCCCUUCCGCUAUGGAGUUGACCCCGAGAAGAAAAAAGUCUUCCAGUGUUCAGGUUGGAAGCGGCAGGAGCAUGGCUACCUUCCCAUUGUUCUGACUGCCAACCUAAGCGAGAGUCAGAGAGGGCUUUGCUUGCGUCCAUAUUAUUUUCCCACGAUCGUUGUAGCAAAUUCCGUGGCCACUACUGAAAUACGAUAAGAAAAGCCACGGUCAAAUAAAGUUCAGAUUAGUCGAGAUUCCCACCGAAAGAGGGCUCUGCAUGUCUGCUUCAUAUUCAGAUUUAACAGGACCCUCCACAGCCUGCAGUAAUGUUUCAAUCACAGUAAACAAGACUCACCAAUACCGUAUAUAUAUAGUCAUAUGUAACUCAGGAACUCUUUGUAAGUACCGAAUGCCACGGUCUGCAAGUGUCAAAUUCAAGAGGAAUACCGAGAUUUUGCAAUUAGUGCAGAAAGCCGGUUGCUAGGUCAAAUGCGUGUCAAAACCGAUGCAUUCCAACUAAGCUACAAAAAUCAACGAGAGAUGUAGCCUAAGAAGUGGAUUCUUUCUCGUUGUAAGGCUGCAAACCACAUUCAAGCCUGAUCGCUGACAUAAGAUCGUGAGGUAUAGCAUGCGGAGUCCUACCCUCUCUGCCUGAAAAAGUAUCUCGAAUCUGUAGUACUUUCCCGGCUACCAUGGGUAGUUGGCUCUCCUGCUCCCCAACCCCUAUACAGUAUGACUUUACUUGGUUCUUGAGACACCAGCACAGCCCCAGUGGCUUGCUGUGAGGUUAACAGGAGUUAAAAACAGCCUCAAAACAACGAUUUAAUCAAAGCAAAUAUUAGCAAACAUCAGAAAUGAUUUCUGUAAAUUUCUGAAGUUAAAUUUAUCUCAAAGCUCAUUGCCGCAGAUACUUAAAACGGAUUUCAAUCACAAACCUCCAGCUUGAAGACCACCUCCUGGACAGAAGUCCCUUUGGCUCUGCUUUUACAUUCACUAUAGCAAGAGGGUACUUUUGGAAGCGGACCUUGAUUGCUUCAGCAAGUCCACUAACCUUGUUGCUCUUCCCUAAGAAAUAAGACCAUUUGUAAAAUACUUUAUGUUACCCAGCCAAACAGGUGAAACAGUUAAAAACAAACCUUCCAUCUCAAUCAAAAUAUAAAAGACUGCUACUUCUGUCUAUCUAUUGCGUCAUUUAGAAAGAAAAUUGCCUCAAGAAUUAUUUAGAACAGUUUGGCAGUGUAUUCAUGAGCAUUUACAAUUUCAAUAUACUAUUUCCAAUUCUUUAUUGGUCUACAGCUUUUCAGAAUAGCAUAUGCUGGACUCUUACACUGAUGAAAAACUAGUUAUCCACAUAAUGCUACAUUACGAGAUUCAUAUUUCUGAACACGUGUGUUCUAGAGUAGCCAGAAACCAAACUUGAGUGUCCAGAAACUACAGUCAAUCACAAAAUGGCAGAAUGUAAUCCACAGAGACAAAAAAAUGUCCAAACAACCAACGUGCAACAAGGUUUCACAACAUAAGGAACUGAACUAUAGGAGUCCCAGAACCACGGCCAAUGACAAAAUGACAGAAUGUGAUCCACAGAGACAACAAAUAUCCCGCAACUAACAUACGACAAAGUUUCACAACAAAAGGAACUAUAUCAGAAAUCCACAUGUUGGUGGCUGGAAAAGGGCCAAAUUUGUCUCAUCCAACAUGUAAAACAACAUUACUCUUGAAAUAGGGGUUUAUAGCAGAAUAUUAAAUCAAGAAAGAUACAAAAUAUAUUCGUAUUACCUAUGGCAAACACAUGAUGCUUUUUCAUCUUCAGCGCUUGUUUCCGCAAAAGUAGCCUGUCUCUAUUGGAGAGGCUUUUAGCUCUAACAAGUAUUGCAUUGCAGCCACUUUCCUUAACUACAUGAACUGAUGAAUCUAGCUCAGUUUUCAUGGAUCAGCAGGGAAUGCAUAGCUUUGGUGCCACCAAGUUUAGCCUCCAUAGUACCAAUAGCGGAAGUGCGUGUCACACCAAGUGUCUAAGAUAAAAGAAAAAAACAUUCAUAGAAGAUUAAUUAGGCUUGUACAACUCGACUCGAUUUAUUGACAGAAAAGGGAAUCAGGAGAAGAUGAGGGUGGCACAUUUCCACGAAUUCAAAAGAUCUUUAGCUUCUUUACUUGUACCUUUUCCCAUUUCAUUUAGAUAAAGGUUCUGCAUCUGCAUUAUCAAACUCAUAGCAAUGUUUUCAAAGUCAUCACUCAUAAAUUCCAUGUCACACAGUAUGCAGAGAGUUUGUUCAGCGAUUCAAUCCUAUAGUUCUGGUUAUGAAAAGAAACUAAAAUGAUGAAGGGAAAAAAAUUAUUGUGCACUAGGAAAUAUUUUAUAUUAAAAAGAAACGUAAUUAACAACAAUAUGGCCUACACUUCACACAUCCUGGGUGCAUGACACUGAAAUUGACUGACUUGGCAGCAGUACAAAUUAAGCUGCACUGAAAUUGCUGUAACCAUUAAAUAUGCUUGAACCUUCUGGAGAAAUUUUUUUUUUUUUUUUUAAAUUUAGCCUCUCUAGUUUAAUGCAGCACGAAUUCUCAUAUAAGUCCUUUACCUAAAGUAAGUGUUUUAUAUUUGUCAUACAACAAUUUCAGAUUCCAAAGCCAGUGAAACAAUCCAUUAGAUAGAUGAGCAUGAGGUUGACACACACUGGAUUAGCAUGGCCUUGGAUGAUGACAAAAAAUAUAUAGCUCAUUCCAAAACUCAAAAAGAGAAGGGAUCCUUUUUACCUGUUCAUUAUAAUGGCUCGUUGACAAUGAUUGGGGAGAGAGUUCAGGACUAGCAAGGGACAUUUUAUUUUUUGAUGAAUGGAACUUGUCUGGCUCCUGCUCUUCGUCCUGGAUCAUGAUUAAACUGCAUAUAUUAGCCCAGAUUUUGAAAUAAUCUUGCAACGGAAGAACAGUAUAAUGAGAUCUGAAAGGAAAUUCACCAAUUUGAGUUUUAAUUCUUCAGCCAAGUCCGUCUUGUUUGUACCCUUUUCUUUGGCCUGGAUCAAAUGAAUGAUAUGUAAUUUCCACCAGAAUACAGUCUAUUAGCUGCAGAAAACAAAUUAAGGCUCUGAAAUAAGAUAACCCACCAAUUGAAGCUUCAACCGAUCUAUAUUCUGUGUAAGCUUCAAAACAUGUAAUUUGAGAGACUGCAAUUCAUGCAAAGAGAAUAUGUGAGGCACAACGAGCAAUACUCAUAAUCAAAAUACUUGAUAACAAAAAAGCUGUGUUAACAGUGUCCUGUACCACCAUAGAAAAUUAAAGGAAGGAUAAUUUGGAAUAGUUUCGUGCUUUGUCUCACUACAUAUACAAAUGGAUGAAAUGAAAACCAGGGGAUAAACACAAACUUGACCUCACGACGUUGUGCCUCUAAAGAACGUUCAUUGCUUCUCUUUUGCUUAGAAGCGAACGAGGCCUCAAACAAGCAGGGCGACUGUAGUUCUUUCCACGAUAUACAAUGAUAGCAAAACUUUGCUAACCCGUUCAACUGCUACUAAAAUUCCGCCACUUUCUGCCUCCAGUGUUCGUGCUCUUGCAGUGACCUCCUCAAUACUUCUUCCCCCGGUUAUAAUCUUCACUAAUUCUCUGUAUUUCCAGUGAAGAUGCAUAUUUUCGAUUGUUCCAUCAAAUACUCCUCGUCUUCCUGAGCAUGAAAGAGAGAAAUUUACAAGGAUGACAUGAGGCCAGAAACACACACUUUUGGCUUGCCAAUGUCAUUCUUCAUCAUAGGGUGUAGUAAGCAAGCACUUCCUUUAGCACUUACCCAGAAGCAGGAAAGGUUUCAUUCUCAAGCCAAUUUUUCUCAGCAUAUAUCGUUCUUCUUCUGUAAUACCUUCUUUAUCAACUUCUGGCUCUUGGGUGGUCUCUUCCUUCUCCAGCUCUACAAGAAGCUUCUCUGCCAUGUCUUUCUUCACUAGUGCCUGUAAGGCUGUAAAAGAUUAACAUGUUUGGGAAAAUAGACAAGUGACUGGAACAGAUUUUGAGGUAGUAUUACAUAACAUGCCUUGGAUAAUUUGGCACUAGUUCUCUCAAUUGCUGCUUCUGUUGAGCUUCGAUGCCUUCGCUUGGAGCAAGUUCAAGUUUCUGGUCCUCUUUACCAUUAUUUUCAUCUCCAUUACAAUUUUCUGAGGUCCCCAGCCUUUGGUCUUUUGAGCUCACUGUAGUAAAACUUUUGUCUGCUCCCUUUUCUUCACCAUCAAGCACAUAGUUCCUCCGCUUUUCAAUUGCUAAAGAGACUGCAGCUGGCAAGAAAUCCUUUCCUCUGUACAGGACAAUGAAUUCCUUAUCUCUUGAAAGCAAGGUUCCCCCAGUUAGGUUCUGCAAGAGUAUAGUUUCAAGUAAAUAUAUGUCAGUGCAGAAGAGUUACUGGCAGUUACAUGUUAGUCCCCUGAUAAAACAGAGCCUAGACAGGAACGACAGAAGAUCUCUUAAACCCAUCUAGCAGACCUUUAGUUCCUCAGCCAUCAAUUCACUGUUGGUGUUCUGGACUCCUCUUUUAACAGCAAUUUUGGCAAUUUCACAUUUCUCCCAUAGCUUAAUAAUUGCAGCAGCCAAGCCCUGAAGUUUUCUAUUUCUGCCUGAAACAAAGGAAAUCGGUAUAAGUAAUAAACUUUGACUAGUAACUAUGCAAUGCUUCCCAAUUUACAAAUCACUCACCUAGGGCAAAAUGGCAUGGUAAAGGCCGACCAAGUCUCCGUAAAAAUGUCAUUUCAUCAUUUGUUAAUAUAGGUUUCACUCCAUAAGGAAGCAGACGAAAUGGUCUCCUAUAUCCAGGAACUGCUGCUGGUAAAAAAUCAGCAUCAACAGGUAAAGGUUCAUACCCCACCAAUCAGUAAACCGGGGACCAAGUCCUUCUAACAGGCGAUCAGCCUCUUCAGCAAGUUGUGCCUCACCAGGCAGUUGGAAUCGUACUCUAUUUGGAGUUCCUACACCUUGUAUUAGAGGUGGAUGAGACACUUUGCUGAGUGACUUAGGUACAGAAGAUCUCAGGGCAUUCCCACCAGAUGAAGAAGCCUUCUUUUCAUUAUCCUCUCUGUAAUCCAUCCGAAAAUCAACUGAAGCUUCUUCACGCAAAGAGCCAUUUGCUGUAUUAUCAUCAGAAAAGAAAUAGGGUACUUGUAAUCAGCUCCUCUGUAUAGCACUAUGUUAGUUCCAGAUCUCCAAACUACUAAGCCUCCAGUCUUCAUCUGGUAAUCCAAAUCACCACACCACACCCAAAAGAAGGAAAACAGGUCAGAUUACGUAACGUUGCAGAGGAAGAAACACAAUUGAAGUGAAUUAUGGACUUCUGAUAGUAAGUACCAAUAACUGUUAAAAAAGACCAUUUGCAGUUAAAUAUGCUUCAGCACAUACCAUGAAGUCAAGCCAUAGUAAAUGCAAACUAAUAAUGGGCACGUAAUAGGACAUGAAAAUCUCAUUAAAACCCAAAUAUUACUGGACAAAUUUGCCUUACAAUAUGUCGUUUGAAGGGUUCAAAUAUAACUAGCAGCUGUUUUUCACAAAGUGGUUAGAGAAACAACUUCAAGCGUAACUAGCAGCUCUACUUAAACUUGAUCUUCAAACAAAGUUUUUACAUUGGAAGCAAGAUAUGCGAAUGUAACUACAAUCAACAUACAAUUGUAGAAUUGGGGAAAAAAAAGGACAUUAACAAUGAGAUCUUACCUCUAACAACUCAUGAGUCCUCUUCAUAUUCAUCCUACAGAUAUCCUCACACCUGAUCUUGACCACCUCAUACCUCCUCCACCUCUCGUGAAUCCCAUUCACAAUCCCUUCCGUGAUCCCGGCCUUCCCAACCUUCAACUUCUUCUGCAACCGAAUACCAAGUGUCCUCAGCCUCCUCAGCUCCCCUCCGGCAAAUUGAGCUCCGCCAAGGUGGGCACUGUCUCCCUUUUCUUCCUCUCCUCAAUCCUCUCCUUAAUCACGCCCCUCCUCAACUGGUGAUACUUCUGAAUCGCAUUCCCCGAGCCGGGUAAGGGGACGGGUUCUGGGGCGUGCUCCAACUCGGGUCAAGAGUGUGCCCGACCCGGUACUUCGGCAACUGGGAAGGCAACGGAACAAAGAUUUCGCCCGGCGAGGCCCAUUCUUUGGAAGCUUAUCUUCAUCUUUGUUCUCAUCCUUAUCAUCUUCGACGUAGCCGAGGCCGCGAAGCUUUUCGGCAAUCCUUUGGAUGGCGGAUUGGGGUAGAGUUUCAGUGUCGCCAGUGGCAGUGGCAAUGGCAGUGGCGGUGGCUCGGCAGAAGAGCGGUUUCGGAGGAGAGACGCCGUACGUGGUAGGUGGGUUUGGGAAGGUGACGGAGGAAGGUAGAAAGGGGUUAAGGAGGGGUUUGGAUUUGGCGGGGGAAGUAAGUAGAAUUGAUGGUUGCCUGUAUAUAGGGCCAUUUGGAGUAGCAGGACACUAAGCCGUUAACGAGUUCUUGAGGUUGGAAUGCAAUAAGCUUUUUAUCGGCUCACCAGCCAUUGCCAUUGCAGGACCGAUAUCUCUACGGCAAUAACUUUUUAAGUUCUCUGUAUAUUAUCCGGUUGAAUAUUUCAUUUUCAGGCGUUUUCUAUAUCUCCUCUCCGAAUGUCUCCGCCAGAUUUUCAAAAAAUUUGGUAAGUGAGAAGUCUUAUUUUAUAAUUCUAACGUUUCCGGAAAAAAAAAAAGAGAAGUCUUAUUUUAUAAGCCGACAAUCAGAACUACAAAAUAUGUGUGUUAUUAUCGUGUUCAUAUCUAUAAUUAAAAUUCUUUCCAUUAUCACUUGAAUAAACAUACACAUAUGCAGCGAUAUGGAUUAAGAUUUAAGAUUAAUCUUUCCUACACUGCACUGACCGUCAGUAUUAGAUGGAUGAUAACUAUACAAAAUUUGAAUUUAAAAUUUAACUUUUAUAUACAUGUCAUUAAUCUAAUAGUGAUAGUACAUGCGCUGUCAGUGUAUAUAAGAUUUACUCGAAAAUUUAGAAAGAGAUAUAAUUAGACAGAGCAGUUGUUUGACAACAGGCAACACCAAAACUCGAAAAAUCAGUUUAAAUAUGAUAAAUAAUCAGGAAACACAUCACUACUCAAAAUUUUCUAGCAAUUAUGAAAAGUUGUUUGAUACGACUGAAUAAUAAAUAAAUAAGGUUGCUUUAAUAACAGCAAACUUUUGAAUUACCACAUUGCCAUUUUCUAGUAUUUUUCACAGUCCCAAGUUACCAACAAUCUCGGUACAAUUAAAUGGGUUAAUUACAAAUCAGAGGGGGCCAAAGACCCACAAAAGUGAGCACUUAAACGCAGAUGUAUAAUAGACAUAGAAAUCCCAAAUUUUCAAUUUUUUUGGUGUUAUCCACAGCUAAAUUUAAAAUUGCAAUGUCGCAACAUUUUUAGCUGUUAAAAUUAUCCUGCCAGCCAACCGUUUAGAUGUCGGUUAAAAGUAACCUGGCGCGGCAGUAUGUAAAAACAUGUGGGGCCGCAAAUAUAUCUAUAGCUAUUUGGCAGCAAACAAAAUGGUUGGAGUUGAAAAGAAAUGUUCUCUUAUUUUUGCUUUUGUGCAUGCAAUAUUGCCAUCUAUCAACACUAGAAAUGCAAUUCUUUCCUCUGAUAUUCAUUCUAUUUCCCAAGACAAUGGGCAGAUGCACAUUGUUAAUUUACAGGAUCGUACGUAACACAUUUACAAAUGAAUUGGGAACCGGUGUACAGAAGAUCCACCCAGAAACUGAACGCUUUCAGCACAGCCAAACCGAUCGGAUCAGGCCAUUAUUAAGCAGAUAACUACUCAUCAGAAACUGAACGUGACU